ensembl:lncRNA
GAAGCACCUGUCAGAUGCCUGGUGCACAAGAGAUGCUCACAAAUGAGACGGAUGCCUUCUCCUUCCACUCUGACCCUGAGCCCUGGAUGCAGGUACUGCCCAGCUGUCCCGAGCCGGCUCCUCUGAGUGAGUCAGCCCUGGAAACAGGUUCUACAGAGCCAGGCAAGGAGUAACCUUGGGUCACUAAUUACCUGCCUAGUCCUCUGUUUGCAAAGGACUUGUAUUACUCUUCAUCACAUCCCAUCUGUGUCAAUACUGAGAGGGAGGAGAGGGGGAGGGUUGCUGUAUCCGGGCCACACCAUGCACCUGCAGCACAGGACCAGGGCAGAUACCCUCUGCCUCCAAUCCGCCUCCAAGAAACUAUGUGAUCAAGGGUCCCUCCUGGGAACUGGAGCACAGAGAGGUGGAGUGGCACCUGGAAAGUGUAACCCAAGCAGGGCAGAGAGAAUUCUAGGCUGACAGAGUUGGAGAGCAGUGUCCCCUGUCUGUACAAAUUUGAGGUCAGG